rnacentral:rRNA from 1 species
UACGUAGGGUGCGAGCGUUAAUCGGAAUUACUGGGCGUAAAGGGCGCGUAGGCGGUUUGCUAAGUUGGAUGUGAAAACUCUGGGCUUAACCCAGAGCCUGCAUCCAAAACUGGCAAACUUGAGUACUGGAGGGGAAAGCGGAAUUCCUGGUGUAGCGGUGAAAUGCGUAGAUAUCAGGAGGAACACCGGUGGCGAAGGCGGCUUUCUGGACAGUAACUGACGCUGAGGCGCGAAAGCUAGGGGAGCAAACAGG